AGUGUCUUAUGACAUCAGUACUGUACUACCUUCAGUUGGUGCUAGGCUGCCUGAGAAGAGGGGAAUUCCGACUCCUGUGAAUGGAAGAGCUGCAUGUUAAAGGGCAUUUUUAUUUCUAUUUGUGCAGGCCUCUGCCAGCAACCUGCAUUAAAGAACAACCAGCAA